UGCACAUUCCAGAUUGAGAAUCAACUUCUUGCUUACCAAACAAACUUGUUUAGUCAAAGGCAACUUACUAGUAUCCCAUUUCAUUGACACUGAGAUGCAGAAUCGUGCUUGCAGCAGGGAUCUGAUGCCAUAUGGAGGUACGCUUCCUUACUGUCAGGAUAUGGACCUGUGGUGUUGUACAAAACUCCCUUUUCCUUAUUAAAGGUAUACAAAAGUCUAAAAA